rnacentral:rRNA from 1 species
CAAUAGCGUAUAUUUAAGUUGUUGCAGUUAAAAAGCUCGUAGUCGGAUUUUGGCUGAGAACGAACGGUCCGCCGUUAGGUGUGCACUGUUUGGUCUCAGCUUCCUGGUGAGGAGGUGUGCUUCACGGCCACUUAGUCACCGUGGUUACUUUGAAAAAAUUAGAGUGUUCAAAGCGGGCUUACGCUUGAAUAUAUUAGCAUGGAAUAACACCAUAGGACUCCUGUCCUAUUUCGUUGGUCUCGGGACGGGAGUAAUGAUUAAGAGGAACAGUUGGGGGCAUUCGUAUUUUAUUGUCAGAGGUGAAAUUCUUGGAUUUAUGAAAGACGAACUUCUGCGAAAGCAUUUGCCAAGGAUGUUUUCAUUGA